UUGGGGGUUUACAAUUUCAUCUAAUCCACUCUCUCUUACCUACUACCCUUGAAUAUUAGUUUGAUUAAUUCAAAUGUUAUGUGACUUUCUUAGCCUCCCCUUAACCCGAUCUCUCGGCGAAAAGGGCCUAAUAUUAACUAUUGGCUUGCUAUCCCUAGCCUCCCCUAGUAAUUAAUACCGCAUUAUAAACAGAAGUUAGCGC
rnacentral:lncRNA from 1 species